rnacentral:rRNA from 1 species
ACGCUCGACACCUACGGAGGCAGCAGUGGGGAAUAUUGCACAAUGGAGGAAACUCUGAUGCAGCGAUGCCGCGUGAGGGAAGAAGGUUUUCGGAUUGUAAACCUCUGUCUUUGGGGACGAUAAUGACGGUACCCAAGGAGGAAGCUCCGGCUAACUACGUACCAGCAGCCGCGGUAAUCUGAGCGGGCUGGCAAGGC